UACGGAGGGGGCUAGCGUUGUUCGGAAUUACUGGGCGUAAAGCGCGCGUAGGCGGAUCGAUCAGUCAGAGGUGAAAUCCCGGAGCUCAACUUCGGAACUGCCUUUGAUACUGUCGAUCUGGAGUCCGGGAGAGGUGCAUGGAAUUCCGAGUGUAGAGGUGAAAUUCGUAGAUAUUCGGAGGAACACCAGAGGCGAAGGCGAUGCACUGGACCGGUACUGACGCUGAGGUG
rnacentral:rRNA from 1 species